rnacentral:rRNA from 1 species
GAUGAACGCUGGCGGCGUGCCUAAUACAUGCAAGUCGAACGAAACUUCUUUAUCACCGAGUGCUUGCACUCACCGAUAAAGAGUUGAGUGGCGAACGGGUGAGUAACACGUGGGCAACCUGCCCAAAAGAGGGGGAUAACACUUGGAAACAGGUGCUAAUACCGCAUAACCAUAGUUACCGCAUGGUAACUAUGUAAAAGGUGGCUAUACUACCGCUUUUGGAUGGGCCCGCGGCGCAUUAGCUAGUUGGUAGGGUAAAGGCUUACCAAGUCAAUGAUGCGUAGCCGAAUUGAGAAGAUGAUCGGCCACAUUGGGACUGAGACACGGCCCAAACUCCUACGGGAGGCAGCAGUAGGGAAUCUUCCACAAUGGGCGAAAGCCUGAUGGAGCAACGCCGCGUGGGUGAAGAAGGUCUUCGGAUCGUAAAACCCUGUUGUUAGAGAAGAAAGUGCGUGAGAGUAACUGUUCACGUUUCGACGGUAUCUAACCAGAAAGCCACGGCUAACUACGUG